AUUGAACGCUGGCGGCAUGCCUUACACAUGCAAGUCGAACGGUAACAGGUCUUCGGAUGCUGACGAGCGGCGAACGGGUGAGUAAUACAUCGGAACGUGCCCGAUCGUGGGGAAUAACGAGGCGAAAGCUUUGCUAAUACCGCAUACGAUCUACGGAUGAAAGCGGGGGAUCUUCGGACCUCGCGCGGACGGAGCGGCCGAUGGCAGAUUAGGUAGUUGGUGGGAUAAAAGCUUACCAAGCCGACGAUCUGUAGCUGGUCUGAGAGGAUGAUCAGCCACACUGGGACUGAGACACGGCCCAGACUCCUACGGGAGGCAGCAGUGGGGAAUUUUGGACAAUGGGCGAAAGCCUGAUCCAGCCAUGCCGCGUGCAGGAUGAAGGCCUUUGGGUUGUAAACUGCUUUUGUACGGAACGAAAAGCCUCUUUCUAAUAAAGAGGGGUCAUGACGGUACCGUAAGAAUAAGCACCGGCUAACUACGUG
rnacentral:rRNA from 1 species